rnacentral:lncRNA from 1 species
AUGGCUGCUGUAUUGCAAGGCUCUCCACUUUGGCCAUACACUGGGUUUAAACCAUUUUUACCUUCCCCCAGCAGGUUUGUGUACCAAACCUUUUGCCUUUGACAAAUGCACCCAGGAUAACAGGCUGCUCCAGUACUCUGCUUCUUUCUCAUGCCUGCCUUCACCUGGUCUCUGCCUGAAGACCUGCUGGCAGAAAAGGAGAAAUGCUGUACGAGGUUUAUGAAUAGGUCAGUUUGGUAUACAAACUGAAGCCCUAAGUGGACUGCUACUACUAUUGCAGGAACACAGCACACAAGAAAAGGUGUCUGUCUUUCCUGUGUAAUGGACAGGUUUUGAAUCGUGGGCCCAGAAGGAUUGUCUGAAUUAUAAGGAAUGUCCAUUUGUGCUUUAGCAACUUGAAGCUUCAGUGAAAAGAAUCAGAACACAGAGAAAACUUGCUGCUAGGACAAAAAUGAAGGAAAGAAUCAUCCCAGGAUGGUGAUACUCGGGUUACAGGCUCACAGGCAGAAGGGACUUGGCCUUUCUCAGAUGAGACUUUGGACUGUGGACUUCAGAGGUAAUGCUGAAAUGAGUUGACUUUGGGGGGACUGUUGGGAUGGCAUGAUUGGUUAUGAAAUGUGAUGACAUGAGAUUUUGGGAGGAGCCAGCUACCGCUCAUAAGGUUUCACUCUCUGUCCCCACUCAAAUCUCAUCUUGAAUUGUACUCCCAUAAUUCCCAUGUGCUAUG